GGGAGGUUUUGUACUCUGCUCUUCCAGUGACAACUUUGGUCUAACACACAUGGUGUAACUCAAGCACAAGAUGGCUCUGUGAGCAGCAUUCCCUCUUCUGCACAGCAGCAAAGAUAUAAGUGACGAAACUGCAGGCUGCCCUCCCACUGAAGGAAACAGGAGACUUUAUCAUGUGUGUAAAGAACUGAGAAAGGGUUCAAAAAAAAGAAUCUGCUUUAUAUACUUACAUUUCUUUUCCUUUUUAAUCAAGAAUCAGUACAUAGCAACCUCAAGAUGCCUAUACACUGACUUUGUGUGCUCUGACCCCAACCCAAACCUGCAGAUGGUCUCUGUAGUAAGUACUGCGAUGGAGUUUAAACACAGAAAAAAGGAUCUUCACAGAAAACUCAAAUCUGCUGGUUAUUGAGGAAUUAAAUAUUUAUCUGCUGGUCCCUGUGGAUGUUCCAGAACAGCGUGCGAGAAGUUUUAUCCGACCUCCAACAGGUCUGUCUCUGCCCAUUUCAGUGACCCUGGCACAGGCAGCCUGACUGAGGAAUGGCUCCAGGGCAAGGGCGAAGAGAAGAUUGAGGCAUUUAAACUUGCUGACUGCUGCAAAAAUCUUGACUCCUUCACUUCAGUGUAAUCAACCAUUACCUGGUUAGCUUGCCCUUGGUGGGCACCUGCCCACCCCUGCACUGUGCUAUAACAGUUUUCUCACUCAGAUUUGUGUUUACAAUUCACUUAUCCUUCAUCAGAGGAUAUAAUCUUGAAUUCCCUUUAUAACUUUCCACCAAGAUGGGUCUGUUGGCAACACCUCUGGCUCCAGCCACUAGUACACACCACUCUCACAUAUCCUAACAGCUGGAUAGGAUGUCUUUCUGAGUUAACAAAACCUGUUUUUUGAGGAACAAGAAAUACUCACUUGCCAUUUAACCAUCACUAACUCCCAGAACAGACGCCUACUAGCUUCUUUGCAAUAGCCACUCCUUUGAAAUCAUUCUCAAGUUCACUUUCUUCAUCUCAUUGAACCUUGCCUUCCCCUCAGUUGGACCCUCUCCUUUGAUUCGAGGAACUGCCUUUAAUCAUUUACUUUACGCUACAAGCUGAUCAAAUAACUUUUCCACAUUCAGUUUUCUCAGCCCUGAGGACGUCCGUAUGUGGAACCCAGCCACCUACAGCAUUUCCUUCUUUCCCUCCUUUAAAACAAAACAACCUAACCACCCCAGUCUGUCUUCCCACGUUGUCUUUUUGUGGGCUGUGUACUAGAGAUCAGUUUCUCGUUAAGAUGUUUUCAUUUAGGAUAGAAUGUUCAAUCUUAUGCUUACUUCCCAAGUCUGGACAAUUAAAAGCAUUCCCCACCUACAUCUACCCUACAUUCUAGAAUAUUCUCAACCACAAGGACACAACAUAAGCCAUGACUGUGCAUGACUCAUAUGUAAGAUAAUAGCAAGUGCUCUGCAACCAACAAAGUGUCAAUGUUUGCAACUGGACCCAAGGAUAGCCCUAUACUAGCAAUACCAUUACCACGGCUAGGCAUUCCUGUAUGCUCCCAUCCAAGAGGGAGAGAAAGAGGUGGAGUCACAGGAGCCAUAUACAGCACUGCUAUGACCUCCAGCCCGGGUCAUUUAUGCCAGAGCCCUAGCCAGACCACAGCUACGGACAUCUUUAAUGGUUACACAUUAUUACAGAUAUUUAAUCUGGAUAUAUCCAUGGGACUGUGGCUAAAAAAAGGUUCACAGCCUCUGGCCCUUCAUUAAAAAGUACGUGGUAACACCUGUUUGAUCUUCAAAGAAUUAAGAAGGCUAAAAUUUACUGUAUAAUACUAAGUAUAAUGGAAAAUACUGGACAGAUAACACAUUUUAGAUUGGAAAUUUAUUCAGGAUAGGUAGGGCAUGCUGUAUUGUCUGGGCACUAUUACAUGCUUUUUUAAAAUGAUUUUUUAAUUGUGUUAAUCAGCAUUGUUGGAGGACUCUUUUUAAAAAAAUUUUUUUAAUUGAUUUUUUAGAGAAAGGAAGGGAGAGGGAGAGAAACAUGGAUGUGAGAGCAUCCAUGUACACCCUCUAUCAGGGACCCACCACCUGCUCAUGUGCCCUGACUGGGAACCAAACCGGCAACCUUUCAGUGCACAGGAUGAUGCCCAACCAACUGGGCCACACCAGCCACUGGCCAGGGCUAUAUGCUUUAUUUUCAUUUAUUAAAUUGUGAUAACCCAGCUAGAGAAGUUUCAUAAAACCACUUCAAUCUAAAUAAAAUCCUUCGGUAAAUUUUUUUCCUGACCAUUCAACUCUGCUAAAUCAGUCCUUGGUGUUCAGUUUAAUGAUACAUGUCACAGCUGGACUGCUCUCACAUCCAAAAGGUGUUCUAAGAAAGCAGCUUAGCCAUAAGAACUCUGAUUUUUCAUGCCAUGGCAUCAUUGCUGAAUAAUACCUUUUCCUUCACAGGCAUAACCUUUGAAGCAGAUGAAUCAAUGCAAGACAUUUCCAUAUGUGUAGAUGUCUUGAAUAAACCAUCUUUAAGAUCAUUUUCUUUUGAGUAUCAACUUAACAGUAAAGCCAAGCGGGGGGACAACCCUCAAUCGCAUUUGUGGGGGCACACUAAUAGCUUCUGCUGAUCUGAGAUUAUAUGGGGCACUCAGAAUAAAUGAAAACAUCAAAAACUUUAGUUGGGCUUAAUGAAAUAAAAAAAGCAAUUCAGGUUACUUAUAAUUUUAGUUUGUUUCACAUAUACAAUGCUGUGUUACUAAGUAAUGAACACUUUCAUAAAAAAAUUUAUUUCAUACUUUUGUACAAAUAUCCACAGGUUUUUCUAAUCAUGAAAUAAUUUUACAAUGCUAGUUAAUAUAAAAUGUAUCAAAUGAGAAUAGACCAGUGACUUGACUUGAGAUGACAUUUUUCACAACUAUAAACAUAAAGACCACCACAUUCUUGUUUCUUUGUUGUUGAGCCACCCUUGCACCCACCUCCUCACCCCUUCCCAAGGACAUUCGUCUUUAUAACAAGGGCCUAUACACACGUUCAAAAUAUCAGCUUCUUAGCAACCUAUGAAGUACAUUGGGUUCCAAGUUACCUAAGCAAGAAACUGAGAUUUUAAACACUGUUAUGACCUGUUCUCAAGAAAUUUUUGUAAACAAAAUAUCAUUUGGAAAACAGUAUUUGUGAAUGAAAUUUCUAAAGUACAACUAGAGUAAUGUUCUUAGUAUCUUAAGGGUAUAAGAUUUCCAAAAAGGAAAGAAAAUUAAAACUCCAAAGCAACAAUGGUACAUAGCUGUAUUUUGUUAAAAGAAUGAGACACAGCUUACAUUACAUCCAAACAAAUUAGCACCUGGUUUGCUCUGGCUCCCCAUAUAACUUAACAUCUUGAAGCACAGUCAUUUUUUAAAAUCUGGCUUUCAUAUCUAUUCAAUCUCUAUUGAAUGUAUAGAAGAAUAAUGUCUUCCUCCCCUCCUCCACUUUUACACUUAAAAAACAAGUUAAAGUCCUUGUUAGAGUAGUCCUAAAAUAAUUUGGGGAAUAUACAUAGGGGAGGAAACACAGCAAAAAAAUAGAACUCUGACUCACAUGACAUGAUUCCAAUAAUAUUUAAAACGUAAAAGCCAUGAUGUUCUAAUCUGACUUUUGGUAUCGGGUAUUCAGUAGUCUUCCACUGGAUCGGAUUGGAUCCACCAUAGGCACUCACCAUUUCUUUCAAGUCCUGUAUAUACAGCAGUGAAAGGUCAAGAAAUAAACCCCCUUUUUUUCCAAGAGUUCCUGAAAGUUAUAGCAUAAAAUUCAGAAUUGUCACACAGGGCUCCAAACUCAAAAAUAUCCAUUGUCUGUUCAAAAUUAAACUUCUAACGGUUAAUCCUAUUUCUUAAACAAACCUUUUGGGUUUGGAGGGAGGGGGUCAAGGUAAGGGAUGUCAUGAAGGAAGAUGUUUCAAUAACUUAUCUGUAAAUUAUAACAACUCUCUGGUACAUUUAUAAAGCAUUAUUUUCUUUUUGCAGUAAAUACUUUAGAUCAAACCAAUGACCUCCCAUGUUCUAAUUCUGAUUGCUUACUCCAACCUGCAGGACAAACUGGAGAAUCUUUGGCCCGUUAGUCAAUAACAAAAUGGUUUGUAAAAAAG